AGAGAGAGACAUGCGUGCAUAUCAAUAAGCGGAGGAAAAGAAACUAACAAGGAUUCCCCUAGUAACGGCGAGUGAAGCGGGAAGAGCUCAAAUUUGAAAUCUUAAAGGGUUUCCCUUUACGAAUUGUAGUUUAAAGAAGUGUUUUCUGUUGAGGUUUUGGUAAAAGUUCUUUGGAAUAGGACAUCAUAGAGGGUGAGAAUCCCGUAUUUGACCUUUACUUUCAACUUUGUGAUACACUUUCAAAGAGUCGGAUUGUUUGGGAAUGCAGUCCAAAAUGGGUGGUAAAUUUCAUCUAAAGCUAAAUAUUGGCGAGAGACCGAUAGCGAACAAGUACCGUGAGGGAAAGAUGAAAAGAACUUUGAAAAGAGAGUUAAACAGUACGUGAAAUUGUCAAAAGGGAAGCGUUUGACACCAGUGUUGUUUUUCUGAAAAUCAAUUAAAGAACUGUUUAUGCUAAGCUUGUUUAGACUUUAUCAGCUAACUGUUUAGUUUUGAGCUUUUCUUUAAUGCACUUUUCAGUUAACAAGUCAACAUCAAUUUCUUUUGCUGUAAAAAAGCUUGAGGAAGGUGGCUUGAGAUUCGUCUUAAGUGUUUAUAGCCUCUUGCCUAUGCAGUCGGAGAGAUUGAGGUUUGCAGCGUAGAUCCUUCGGGGCUAAAUGCAUUUGUGCUAAGUUAUAACAUUUUAUAGACAACUUGUUGACUAUGAUUUGUCUUGUAGCUUACUCGCUUAUGUUAUUUUACCUACGCUUAGGAUGUUGAGCGCAUGUCUCUCUCU
rnacentral:rRNA from 1 species